rnacentral:rRNA from 1 species
CCUACGGGAGGCAGCAGUGGGGAAUAUUGGGCAAUGGGCGCAACCCUGACCCAGCAACGCCGCGUGAAGGAAGAAGGCUUUCGGGUUGUAAACUUCUUUUGACAGGGAAGAGCAGAAGACGGUCCCUGUCGAAUACGCCACGGCGAUCUGCGUGCCAGCAGCCGGGGUAAUAGGUAGGUGGCAAGCGUUCUCCGUAUUUACUGGGUGUAAAGGGCGUGUAGCCGGGCUGACAAGUCAGAUGUGAAAUCAGGGGGCUCAACCCCCGAACUGCUUUUGAAACUGUUGGUCUUGAGUAUCGGAGAGGCAAGCGGAAUUCCUAGUGUAGCGGUGAAAUGCGGAGAUAUUAGGAGGAACACCAGUGGCGAAGGCGGCCUGCUGGACGACAACUGACGGUGAGGCGCGAAAGCGUGGGGAGCAAACAGGAUUAGAUACCCGGGUAGUC